AUUGAACGCUGGCGGCAGGCCUAACACAUGCAAGUCGAGCGGAGCGGCGGCCGGGUGAGUAAUGCCUAGGAAUCUGCCUGGUAGUGGUGGAUAACGUCCGGUAACGGGCGCUAAUACCGCAUACUUUCACUUGCGCCUAGGUCGGAUUAGCUAGUUGGUGGGGUAAAGGCCUACCAAGGCGACGAUCUCUAGCUGGUCUGAGAGGAAGAUCAGCCACACUGGGACUGAGACACGGCCCAGACUCCUACGGGAGGCAGCAGUGGGGAAUAUUGCACAAUGGGCGCAAGCCUGAUGCAGCCAUGCCGCGUGUAUGAAGAAGGCCUUAGGGUUGUAAAGUACUUUCAGCGGGGAGGCGUUACCCGCAGAAGAAGCACCGGCUAACUCCGUGCCAGCCGCCGCGGUAAUUC
rnacentral:rRNA from 1 species